rnacentral:rRNA from 1 species
GGUCAAGCGAACAAGUGCAUGUGGUGGAUGCCUUGGCGAUCACAGGCGAUGAAGGACGCGGUAGCCUGCGAAAAGCUACGGGGAGCUGGCAAACGAGCUUUGAUCCGUAGAUGUCCGAAUGGGGAAACCCACUCCUUUUGGAGUAUCCAUGGCUGAAUACAUAGGCCAUGUGAAGCGAACGCGGUGAACUGAAACAUCUAAGUAACCGCAGGAAAAGAAAUCAACCGAGAUUCCCAAAGUAGUGGCGAGCGAAAUGGGAUGAGCC